UAAAGCCUAACCCCUAAAUCCUAAACCCUUAACCCUUAUAGGAUUCCGAAACCCUAAAUGUAAACCUAGAAACCCUAAACCCUAACGCAUAUGGGGCUAAUCAUACAGUAUAUGAUGUCGUCCGAUUAUUAGCCGUCUAGAGUUUAACAUAGAUGUACAAUGUCGUUAUUAUAUGGAUAACUAUAGUGUUAGCUGGCUAAAUUAAUUUCUCAACCAUUACACCAAACCCUAAAACCAUAUGCCUAUAUCAUAACCCCCACUCCCUAUACCCUUAAAGUUCAACAUAGCUGUGCAACUAUGAUCCUUCCUAAUAAUCUAGUAUAUAAUAUACGGCUAGAGUUUGAGAUAGAUGUGUAAUAUAUUCAUUAUCUUGAUAAGUAUGAUUUUAGCUGGCUUAAUUUAUUGCAUAUGCCAUUAUUCCUAAACGUUGCCAACAUAUUUCCUUAGACGACUAAACUUUGCGUAAAAGAUUAAAAAUAUUAAUAUCAGGCUACAAUUUUGUGUGGCCAGCUCCGAAAAGUUAUAUCAUCUAAUAUUCGAGACAUGACCAAACAUUCAUUCACACAAGAUUGAUGAGUCAUACAGCUGCCGUCGAAACAGAGGGUUCAUCAAGAUUAAGGGCGUUGAGGAUUUCUCUGAUUGCGCAUGCCUUCGGAUAUGAAGUUACUCUAACGCCGGUGGGUUCUUCUCCGACUGCGAAUAUCCUUUCUGGUAGUAGGCAUGGCGGCCCGUGUAUACCGUCGUUCUCCUCCAUCAGGUUGUUGAGUUCAGCAACUCUAAUUUGCUAUUUUUUUUUAAGAAUUGGCACAAGAGAUGGAUAAAAGGGAUUUUCGAAAUUCUGUUUCUUUCGUAGAGAUAUGAAACCUCUGACAAAGAGAUACAGAAGAUUUUAGCGUAUCUUAAUAUUAUAUUUUGGUCUAUAUAUCACUUGCAGUUAAGGAGUGGCUUAUGUUGUAGGGGUAGCAGAGUAAAAUAACUCAUGGAACAGUCGUCGUUUUUUUCUCUUUGGUCAUUUCCCUAAUAACGUAUAAGUAUGUUGGUAGAGCUCCUAAUUUCUCUUCUUUUUUUACAUCUACUACUAUUUUUUAUUUAUUUUUUAUAUUUUACCUAAGGGUAGGAUUUAAGGUUUAGUGUUUUAGUAUGAACAGUUUUAACAAUGUUAAAAAACCAUUUUUAUUGAUAUUACACUUUUUUAUUUAUUUUCUAUCCUUUUAUUUUAAAAAUAAAUUCUAAAUAUUCUGUUUAAGUUUUUGAAAAUAUUUGUAUAUAAAAUAACCAAUUCUCAUUGGUUGGUGAACCUGUAAGUCUUCGUAGGGAGUGAACUCAAGAAUUUCUCUUUUUAUAGUACCAUCGUUUCUGCCAAAGUACAAAAUUUGUUAUGGUUAUUUGAGUUUAUGAAAGGAGGUACAAUUAGGGGUCUCCAAUCCGGAUAUUGGUUCAGUUUCGUUUCAGUUUUUCAGUAUUUCAGUUUAUAAAAAUAACUACCAUAUUAAAACUAUAUAUACUUUGGUUUGAUUCUAUUUAUAUACCGUCGGUUUUAAGUUUAUUUGAUUUUAUACCAAAAAACCAUAAAUGUAUUUAUCUUUUUUAUAAUAUUUUGUGAUUUAGCUUUAUAUAAUUUAAAUAUCGACUUUAAUGUAACACCAAAAUAUUUCGGUUUUCUACUAGACUAUUUUUAUUUCUUACAAUUUUAAUUAUUAGUAAACAUAUUAAGUUAAUAAUAGUAAUUGUUUUCAUAGAAUAAAAAUAAGAAAAAUUAGUAAUCCAUAAUACUAUUAAAUAAUUAAAUAUUAUCACACACAUUUGUCAACAAAAAAGUAAAAUUUAUGAUUUUUAAUUUGAUAAAAACUAAAAAUAACUAUUAACUUAAAAUAUAAUAUUAAAUUACUAAAAUCAACAUUUUAAGUAUGAAAAUCAUAUCAGUAAAAUAAGUUAUGUAUAUAUUAUUAGUUGAACAAAAAAAGAAAUGUAUAUAUUAUUAGUUAUAUUAUAUAAUUAUACUACUAUAUUUUAAUUAUCGAUUUAUUCGGUUUGAUCGGUUUAUAUACCAAACUAUAUUCACAUACCACGAUUUAAAAAAAAUAACAUUUAUUUCGUAUAUUCGCAAACCAUUUUUUUUAUUUCGGUUCGGUUUGGAUGUUAACUGGUUUGGUUUUACCGGACUAAACAUCUCUAGAUACAACGGCAGAAUUUGGAAAUGGAUCACGAGUAGACCAAACUUGUAAUUAAUAUGAUUUAUUGAUUGAUAUCUUUUGGCAAAAUAAAAGAUAUCAAACAAUAAUCUUAAACCGGAAGAAAGAACAUUUGUUUUAUUCAACACCGGAAGAAAAAAUCUUAUAUAUUAAAACAGAAGUCAUGACUUCUUUUCAUGUGCGAUUUUUUUAGUUUAGACCAUUCCUAGAAAAUAUCAUAUUUUACAUAAGUUCAUUAUUAUAUCUUUUAAUAUCUUUAUCUUUUUAUUUGAAAUAUAAAUGAAUAUAUUUAAAAUAUUCUAGCAAAAUCUUUUUAAAAUCUUCUUAGAAUCUUUUUAAAUUUACUUAAAAAAAUUAGUUAGUUUUAAUUUUGGUUUAUAGUUUUGAAUAUAGUUUUGGUUUAUAAACGAAAAUUUAAAUAAAAUGAAAUUAAUUAAUUUCACAAAUACAUUUACUAAUAACUUUUAAAGAUUUUGUUAGAAAUAAAUAUUUAUUUUUAUUUUAAUUUUUUUCAUAUUUGUUUUCUAAUAAAAUAAAAAUCAUGAUUUUUUGAUGAGUGAUAUUUUUAUUUGGACCAUCAUUUAAAUUUUAUAUUAAAUAUAUAUCACUAAUGCUAAUAUACAUAAUAUUUUUAACUACUUUAAUCAUAAUAUCUUUUAUAUCUUUAAAAAAAAUUAAAAUUCUAACAAAUCUUUUGAAAAAGAUUAUAAUAAGAUCUUAAUUGUCAUAAAUUUAAUAUAAAUAUUUUCAAUUAAUUUUGUAAUUAGUAAUGAAAUGUUACUAAAAGAAUAAAAUUAUAUCCUAUUUUAUCAAUUUUAUAAUAAUAUCUAUCAUUUUAAAAUAAAAAUUUUAUAUUGAACAAAAUAUGAUAAAAUUAUUUUAAAUUGAUUAGUUAACAUAUUCUAUUUUCAUAAAUAUAAAAUAUUUAUGCUAAAAAUAUAAUAUAUUGGUAGAACUGGUUAAUAUUAGUAAACUAUAUAAUACAUGUAUAAAAAUUUAACUUAUCUUACAAAUUUUAAUAUAGAGUAAUUUAUAAUAUAAAAUUAAUAAACAUUUAAAAAUUACUAAAAAAAUCAAGCGAAUUGAAUUAUGGAUCAUGAUUAUAAUAAAUUAAAUAUAAAAUUAUUUUCAUAUAUGUUGUUUCAUGCAUUAAAAAAAUUAGUUUAGUAAUCAAACACCAAUUCAAUAAGACAAAUAUAUAAUAAGCACCAUUAUAUAUGUGAUGAUUUUAAUUUACAGCAUGAAAACUAUAAAACUAUUAUAUUUGGCAUAAUUAUACAAACAUUUAAAUAUGUGAGUAACAUUAAAAAUAUAUAAUAAUUAUGAAAAAAAAUAUCUAUAUAUAUAAAUGUGAAAAUAUAUAUCCACACGGUUAUGCGGGUGGAAAUCUAGUAUAAUACUAAAAUCAUCUCCUACCGAUUUAUAGUUUGAUUGACCGGAACUUUACUCUAAUUUUGGAACUUAUGUUAAGUUUUGGAAUUCGUUAUUGCUGAGAAUGUAAUUAAUUGCAAGAUUAACAUACAAUAUUGCAAUUACAUUCUGAAGAUAUAUGUAAAUAUAUUAUUUCUUUGUUAAUAAAAUUAAAUUAGGAUGGAUCUUCAAAUCUGCUCCACAUAGAAUAUUAUAUAAUUAAUUAAUGCAAAAUGUACACACAUUAUUGCAAUUGGAUUCUUUAGAUAUAUGUAAAUAUAUUCUUUCUUUGUUAGACACUAAUUAGUAAUAUAGGUAUCAGUUUACGCAAAGUAUAUAAAGGGAGAUGAUCAUUUGCUCUAAACCCAAAAGAAAAACAUCUCCACAAAAGAAAAGAGAUACAAAGAAACAAUGUCAGCACAGAAGAUUCAACUUGCUUCUUUGAUCCUAGCUUUUGUUCUUCUAUUUGCUCAAUCAACUGCUAAAUGUCACUAUAGAUUCCCACCCUCUGGCCCUUGUAAGAAAAUGGACGACUGCAAGAACGCGUGCACAAUGCGUGACGAAGAUCCAACUUUUCUAUUGUGCCUUGUGAAUGCCCCAAUGUUUGGCAGAUGCUGUUGUUUAGUAAAACAAAAAUAGUCUUGUUCUACAUCGAUAUCUUUGUCAUAAGAUUUAAAAUCAAUAAAAAAUAGUGUUUGCCUCUUCUUAAAAAUUUUCCUCUAGAAAGUCAAAUACUAACUGGUUCUCACCAUAGUUUCUGAGUAUGAUUGCUUUCUCUCCAUUUCUCCUUGAGUUUCAAGGAAAGUUUAAAACACGUUUGCUCAGAAAUAAAUUAGCAGAAAUUAAAGAUCAAUCUCUCUAACCUUAGUGCAUGAUUUCUUCAUUCAUCAGUCUUUUUUUACUUUUCUCCUUAGAGGUUUGAUGAAAAUUGUAUUAGAUAAAACUAUAGAUUCUACGUAUCACAGAGAUAUAAAAAAUAAGAAGAACCAUUAUCUCUUCUACCAUCCCAAAAUAAGAAGAGAUAAAAUGUUAUUUCUCUAUUAAAGUUCUAUCUCGGGCAGAGAUCAGACUUUGCCUUGGAGUUUAUCGUUAUUAACAAGAGGAAGCAAGUCCAUCUUGUUUCUUGGUGUACGAGGAGUCCUAGGAGUUCCUUGCGUUUGCUGUGAAAGCAUAUGCCUCGCGUAACCAUAGAAUGUGCAGCCCACAAACACAUCCAACAGCAUUCAUAUACAGAAUAUCAACCAUGAUACAGCCACCACAACCUGCAAAAAGUACAUAGACAAUGCUUAAGACAGAUGUUGAAUUAGAACAUCCAUUGCAAUUUGAAAAAAAAAAACAUAUUAGUUAUGUGAGUUUAAGAUUGUCUUCUCUGCUUCAAUAUACAUCAACUUUUCUUCAUCUUGUUCAUCUAUAUGCCUCGUGCAAAAAAAAUGUGAUUGGCUUGCUUGUUGCACCAAUUCUGUCUCACUAACUGAAGCAGAUCAUUCUCCUCAGCUAAAAGGAGUUUUGUUUUCUUUCUUUUGUUCACCUCUGUUUUUGAGCUUGUAUCUCCAAUAUUUUGACCAUUGCGUCUUUGAUGUACUUCUUUAAUUCCUCUUUCUCAACUCGAGAUUAAUAGCCUUGAGCUUAUACUUGAAUCUCCAUGAUUUAGGCAGUUUAUUUUUCUCCAUCUCAUGUUCUUCUCUUCUGUCUGAAGAGACAAAAUACAUCAUAUAGUUCGUAUGAAGAAAGUUUGCUCUGAACACCCGUUGAUUAUAUCCCACAAAAAUCAUUUCCUGCCAACUUUUAGUUUGAUUUUUCUUUGUUUGACCAUAACUUUAAGUUUGGGAUUUAUUUUUUUCUGAGAAUAUAAUUAAUGCAAAAUUCACACACAUUAUUGCAACUGGAUUCUGAAGAUAUAUGUAAAUAUAUUCUCUUUGUUAAUGAAUUAAAUUAGUAAUGGAUGUUCAAUUCUACUCUGCAGAGAAUAUUAUAUAAUUAGUGCAAAGAUUUACACACAUUUUUGCAAUUGGAAAGAUAUCUACCAAUUCACUCGAUAUUUAAAGGGAGAUGAUCAUCUGCUAUGAACCCAAAAAAAAAACAUCUCACAAAAUAAAAGAGAUACAAAGAAAACAAUGUCAGCACAGAAGAUUCAACUUGCUUCUUUGAUCGUAGCUUUUUUUUCUUCUAUUUUCUCAGUCAACUGCUACAUGUCACUAUAGAUUCCCACCCUCAGGCCGCCCUUGUACGAAAAAUGCCGACUGCAAGAACGUGUGCACACAGCCUGAAGAAGAUCGAACUUUUCUAUUGUGCCUUACGGGUAUCCCACUGUUAGGCAGAUGUUGUUGUUUAGCACCAUAGUCUUGUUCAACAUAAUACAUCGUUAUAUUUCUCAUUACUUAUCAUAAGAUUUAAAAUCAAUAAAAAAUUAUGUUUGCAUAAGGCAUCUACAAUGCGCCAGUCAGGGCAGCUUCUGAAAUUAGGUUGUUUAUUUUUUUGAGUGAUGUCAAGAACUUGUGGAGCUUCUAAAAAAAUAUUCACACCUAGUCUUUAUCAAUGUGGAACUAUUUUUCGUAUGUAGUAGUAGUAGUAAUAAACGUACAGAAUACCUCUUCGGAAUUGCUCUGAAACCAAAAUUGUAAUUGCAUAAUCACCAGCACUUGUGAUGUGUCAAUUGCUCUAGUGAAUCAGGGUUAACUUUUAAACUCCUCUGCUACAUUAGCAAUUAAAGGUAACUUGUACAUGAGAAUAUAUACCGACGAGAUAUAACUAAGAGAACUUGUACAAAUGUUCAAAGGUAACUUAUAUAAAUGUUCGAAUAUAUACCGAUUGUUCAUGUGACAGAGAGCUCGACUUAGCCCAUCAUUUCAAGCGUUUUUUUUUUUUUUUUGUCUUUUGUCCCUCUGUAACCAUUUCACUUUGUUUUUUUACUUGUAACAACUGCUUGUCCUAACAUUACACAGCCUCUUUGUAAUGUCGAACCUGAAGCAAUUAUUGAAAUAUGCUUCUCUAGUUCUUCAAAUAGCUUGAUAUCAUAUGAUCUCUCUAGUACAUGAGAGCUAAAACAUCCAAAGGUUUUGACAGUUUCAGUAGCACACACUCUUCCAGAGAAGAGUAAUCUCUUGUGGAGUGAGUGACAGCAAUUCUCCUGCUUUUUAACACUGUACAGAACCACAAGACUCUCCUUUUUCAGACUGCUUCAGUCAGACCAUUGGAAUCUGAGAGACCAAAGAGACAAGUCAACCAUUAAAACAGAACCAUCCUGUUCCAGAUUGUGAUUGCAAACGAUCCUCUGAUUCAUUUUUCUGCAUCAGUUCUGUCUCUAUUCUUACAUAAUAACCCUUCUGCUUGAAUUUUGUCACUCCUGCUUCUGCAUCUUGGUUCAUAAUGUGAUAGACUUGCUGAACCAAUUCUGUCUCAUGAAAACAGAUCAUUCUCUUCUGCUAAGAGGAGAUUUUUUUUUAAUUUCUUGGCUCAACUCUGUUUUCGAGCUUUGUAUCUCCAAUAUUUUUGACCAUUACAUCAUACAGUUCCUAUGAAGAAGUUUCCUUCUGAAUUCACUACUAAGUCAUCCUACUUUUCGAUAUGUACUCUUGUCACAAUGUAUUUGGCUAAAUAGAUUCCGUUGGCAAGCAAUAAGCCCUAGCCGCCUACCAGAUUCUGCACCUUUGAUGGUAUCGUCUUAUUACUGCCAAUGCAAUAAGGAACAGUGAGGUUCAUGUUCACCCUUCAGAUGUACAAGUUUGGUUGGUGCAACAGAUUAAUUUGGACAAGGAUCAUGAAUUGACCAAAACUUGUAAUUAAUAUUAUGCUUGUUUAGUAAGUAAAGAAUAGAAUGCUUUAAUUUUGGUAUUAUAUCCCACAAAAUCAUAUCCUACCGAUUUUUAGUUUGAUUUUUCUUUGUUUGACCAGAACUCUUAAGUUUGGGAUUUGUUUUUGCUGAGAAUUUAAUUAAUGCAAUUCAAUUGGAUUCUGAAGAUAUAUGUCAAUAUACUAUUUCUUUGUUAAUAAAUUAUAUUAGGAAUGUAUGUUCAAUUCUACUCUGCAGAGAAUAUUAUAUAAUUAAUUAACGCAAGAUUUACACAUAAUUAUUGUAGAACACUGGAUUCUGAAACAAUAUAAGCAAAUAUUUAAAGGGGGAUGGUCAUUUGAUCUUAAACCCAAAAAAAAAAAACAUCUUCACAAAAGAAAA